AAGCUCGUAGUUGAAUUUCGGGGUUAGUAGGUUGGUCAUGCCUCUGGUAUGUACUGGUCUCACUGAUUCCUCCUUCCUUAUGAACCGUAAUGCCAUUAAUUUGGUGUUGCGGGGAAUUUGGACUGUUACUUUGAAAAAAUUAGAGUGUUUAAAGCAAGCUAACGCUUGAAUACAUUAGCAUGGAAUAAUGAAAUAGGACGUUCGAUCUUAUUUUGUUGGUUUCUAGGAUUGACGUAAUGAUUAAUAGGGAUAGUUGGGGGCAUUAGUAUUCAAUUGUCAGAGGUGAAAUUCUUGGAUUUAUUGAAGACUAACUACUGCGAAAGCAUUUGCCAAGGAUGUUUUCAUUAAUCAAGAACGAAAGUUAGGGGAUCGAAGACGAUCAGAUACCGUCGUAGUCUUAACCAUAAACUAUGCCGACUAGGGAUCGGAUGAUGUUAAUUUUUUAAUGACUCAUUCGGCGCCUUACGGGAAACCAAAGUGUUUGGGUUCCGGGGGGAGUAUGGUCGCAAGGCUGAAACUUAAAGGAAUUGACGGAAGGGCACCACCAGGGGUGGAGCCUGCGGCUUAAUUUGACUCAACACGGGGAGA
rnacentral:rRNA from 1 species